rnacentral:rRNA from 1 species
GAUGAACGCUGGCGGCGUGCUUAACACAUGCAAGUCGAACGAGGUUAAUUGAGCGGAUUACUUCGGUAUGAAGCGCUUUUAACUGAGUGGCGGACGGGUGAGUAACGCGUGGGGCAACCUGCCUCAUUCAGGGGGAUACCAGUUGGAAACGACUGUUAAUACCGCAUAAGCGCACGGUUCCGCAUGGAACAGUGUGAAAAGCUCCGGCAGAAUGAGAUGGGCCCGCGUCGGAUUAGCCAGUUGGCGGGGUAACGGCCCACCAAAGCGAUGAUCCGUAGCCGGCCUGAGAGGGCGACCGGCCACAUUGGGACUGAGACACGGCCCAAACUCC